GAUGAACGCUGGCGGCGUGCUUAACACAUGCAAGUCGAACGGAAAGGCCCAAGCUUGCUUGGGUACUCGAGUGGCGAACGGGUGAGUAACACGUGGGUGAUCUGCCCUGCACUUCGGGAUAAGCCUGGGAAGCUGGGUCUAAUACCGGAUAGGACGAUGGUUUGGAUGCCAUUGUGGAAAGUUUUUUCGGUGUGGGAUGAGCUCGCGGCCUAUCAGCUUGUUGGUGGGGUAAUGGCCUACCAAGGCGUCGACGGGUAGCCGGCCUGAGAGGGUGUACGGCCACAUUGGGACUGAGAAACGGCCCAGACUCCUACGGGAGGCAGCAGUGGGGAAUAUUGCACAAUGGGCGCAAGCCUGAUGCAGCGACGCCGCGUGGGGGAUGACGGCCUUCGGGUUGUAAACUCCUUUCGCUAGGGACGAAGCGUUUUUGUGACGGUACCUGGAGAAGAAGCACCGGCUAACUACGUG
rnacentral:rRNA from 1 species